rnacentral:sRNA from 1 species
GGGGGCGACUUGGAUUCGACGAGAGUCGCGAAACCUGACGUGCAUGCCGAGGUGCAGUCCCCCUCGUAAAACAGACUUGCAAACAAGCUUAGUUGCGAACGACGACAACUACGCCCUCGCUGCCUAAAAAACGGUAGUGAGCGUCCGACCUGGUCUGCUUGUGGGCUGGGUAUCGGGCGUCAAAUUACACAAGCUCGCCCGCGGAUAGGUCUCUGGUCCAACGGUUAAAACUUAGUGAGUCUAAGCGUCUGUCUUCCCUCGCCUGCCGGGUAACAGUCGCCGACAAUUAAAGGCAAGGCUAAGCAUGUAGAUCGAAAGGCAGAGGGCUUUCGGACGCGGGUUCGAUUCCCGCCGCCUCCACCA